AUACGGAGGAUGCAAGCGUUAUCCGGAUUUAUUGGGUUUAAAGGGUGCGUAGGCGGUUUGCUAAGCGGGGGGUGAAAUGCCGGCGCUCAACGGCGGAAGUGCCUCCCGAACUGGUGGACUUGAAUGACUCAGACGGGGGAGGAAUUUGUAGUGUAGGGGUGAAAUGCUUAGAGAUUACACAGAACACCGAUUGCGAAGGCAUCUCACGAAGGGUUGAUUGACGCUGAGGCACGAAAGCGUGGGGAUCAAACAGGAUUAGAUACCCUGGUAGUCCACGCAGUAAACGAUGAUGGCUAACCGCUGGGCUUAUCAGUUCAGUGGCCAAGCGAAAGCGAUAAGCCAUCCACCUGGGGAGUACGACCGCAAGGUUGAAACUCAAAUGAAUUGGCGGGG
rnacentral:rRNA from 1 species